rnacentral:rRNA from 1 species
CUGCCCAUAAGAGGGGGAUAAUCCAUGGAAACGUGGACUAAUACCGCAUAUUGAAUAUUUAUCGCAUGGUAGAUAUUUGAAAGGAUUUAUCGCUUAUGGAUGGACUCGCGUCAGAUUAGCUAGUUGGUGAGGUAAUGGCUCACCAAGGCGACGAUCUGUAGCCGAACUGAGAGGUUGAUCGGCCGCAUUGGGACUGAGACACGGCCCAGACUCCUACGGGAGGCAGCAGUGGGGAAUAUUGCGCAAUGGGGGGAACCCUGACGCAGCAACGCCGCGUGCAGGAAGAAGGUCUUCGGAUUGUAAACUGUUGUCGCAGGGGAAGAAGACAGUGACGGUACCCUGUGAGAAAGUCACGGCUAACUACGUGCCAGCAGCCGCGGUAAUACGUAGGUGACAAGCGUUGUCCGGAUUUACUGGGUGUAAAGGGCGCGUAGGCGGAUGUGCAAGUCAGUCGUGAAAUACCGGGGCUCAACCCCGGGGCUGCGAUUGAAACUGCACACCUUGAGUAUCGGAGAGGAAAGCGGAAUUCCUAGUGUAGCGGUGAAAUGCGUAGAUAUUAGGAGGAACACCAGUGGCGAAGGCGGCUUUCUGGACGACAACUGACGCUGAGGCGCGAAAGUGUGGGGAGCAAACAGGAUUAGAUACCCUGGUAGUCCACACCGUAAAC